AUUGAACGCUGGCGGCAGGCCUAACACAUGCAAGUCGAACGAGUGGCGGACGGGUGAGUAAUGUCUGGGAAACUGCCUGAUGGAGGGGGAUAACUACUGGAAACGGUAGCUAAUACCGCAUACCAUCAGAUGUUCCCAGAUGGGAUUAGGUAGUUGGGGGGGUAACGGCUCACCAAGGGGACGAUCCCUAGCUGGUAUGAGAGGAUGACCAGCCAACCUGGAACUGCAACACGGUCCAGACUCCUACGUGAGGCAGCAGUGGGGAAUAUUGCACAAUGGGCGCAAGCCUGAUGCAGCCAGGACGCGUGUAUGAAGAAGGCCUUCGGGUUGUAAAGUACUUUCAGCGGGGAGGCGUUACCCGCAGAAGAAGCACCGGCUAACUCCGUGCCAGCAGCCGCGGUAAUUC
rnacentral:rRNA from 1 species